GACGAACGCUGGCGGCGUGCUUAACACAUGCAAGUCGAACGGAAAGGCCCUGCUUUUGUUGGGCGCUCGAGUGGCGAACGGGUGAGUAACACGUGAGUAAACUGCCCCUGACUGUCUGAGAACUUCAGGAAACAGGGGCGAAUAUCGGAUAGGAGCUCCUGCAGCAUGGUGUUGGUUGGAAAGAGUCGGCGGUGGGGGAUGGACUAGCGGCUUAUCAGCUUGUUUGUGAGGUAGUGGCUUACCAAGGGUUUGACGGGUAGCCGGCCUGAGAGGGUUAACGGCCACCAUGGGCCUGAGAGACGCACCAGAAGCCUACGGGAGGCAGCAGUGGGGAACAUUGCACAAUGGGCGGAAGCCUGAUGUAGCAACGCUGGGUGCGGGAUGACGUCCUUCGGGUUGUAAACAGAUUUCGAAUGUGACGAAGCGUGCGUGACGGUAAUGGGUAAAGAAGCACCGGCUAACUACGUG
rnacentral:rRNA from 1 species